CCUUACCUGGCCUUGACAUACUAAGAACUUUCCAGAGAUGGAUUGGUGCCUUCGGGAACUUAGAUACAGGUGCUGCAUGGCUGUCGUCAGCUCGUGUCGUGAGAUGUUGGGUUAAGUCCCGCAACGAGCGCAACCCUUUUCCUAUUUGCCAGCGGGUUAAGCCGGGAACUUUAAGGAUACUGCCAGUGACAAACUGGAGGAAGGCGGGGACGACGUCAAGUCAUCAUGGCCCUUACGGCCAGGGCUACACACGUGCUACAAUGGUCGGUACAAAGGGUUGCUACCUCGCGAGAGGAUGCUAAUCUCAAAAAGCCGAUCGUAGUCCGGAUCGCAGUCUGCAACUCGACUGCGUGAAGUCGGAAUCGCUAGUAAUCGCGGAUCAGAAUGCCGCGGUGAAUACGUUCCCGGGCCUUGUACACACCGCCCGUCACACCAUGGGAGUUUGUUGCACCAGAAGUAGGUAGUCUAACCGCAAGGAGGACGCUUACCACGGUGUGGCCGAUGACUGGGGUGAAGUCGUAACAAGGUAGGCGUAGAUGA
rnacentral:rRNA from 1 species